CGAACGCUGGCGGCAGGCCUAAUACAUGCAAGUCGAACGGCUCUUCGGAGCAGUGGCGGACGGGUGAGUAACGCGUGGGAAUGUGCCCUUAGGUACGGAACAACACAGGGAAACUUGUGCUAAUACCGUAUGUGCCCUUCGGGGGAAAGAUUUAUCGCCUUUGGAGCAGCCCGCGUUGGAUUAGGUAGUUGGUGAGGUAAAGGCUCACCAAGCCGACGAUCCCUAGCUGGUCUGAGAGGAUGACCAGCCACACUGGGACUGAGACACGGCCCAGACUCCUACGGGAGGCAGCAGUAGGGAAUCUUGCGCAAUGGGCGAAAGCCUGACGCAGCCAUGCCGCGUGUAUGAUGAAGGUCUUAGGAUUGUAAAAUACUUUCACCGGGGUAGAUAAUGACGGUACCCGGAGAAGAAGCCCCGGCUAACUUCGUGCCAGCCGCCGCCGUAAAAC
rnacentral:rRNA from 1 species